GAUGAACGCUGGCGGCGUGCCUAAUACAUGCAAGUCGAGCGAACAGACGAGGAGCUUGCUCCUCUGACGUUAGCGGCGGACGGGUGAGUCACACGUGGAUAACCUACCUAUCAGACUGGGAUAACUUCGGGAAACCGGAGCUACUACCGGAUAAUAUAUUGCACCGCAUUGUUCAAUAGUUAGAUACGCUUUUUGUUUCACUUAUAGCCUGAUCAGCGCCGCAUUCACUAGUUGGUUAGGUAACGGCUUACCAAGGCAACGACGCGUACCCGACCUGAACGGGUGGUCGGACACACUGGAACAGAGACACGGUCCAGACACCGACGGUGGGAAGCAGUAGGGAAUCUUCCGCAAGGGACGAGAGCCUAACGGAGCAACGCCGCGGAAGUGAUGAAGGUCUUCGGAUCGUAAAACUCUGUUAUUAGGGAAGAACAAAUGUGUAAGUAACUAUGCACGUCUUGACGGUACCUAAUCAGAAAGCCACGGCUAACUACGUG
rnacentral:rRNA from 1 species